rnacentral:lncRNA from 1 species
UAUACUGCUAAAAAAUCUGGCCUCUUUUGUAUGUGUUUGGCAACACAUUUUGAGGCUCCAAAUGUGUUUUACUAUUUUUCAAACGUCGUUUUAUCCUUAAACAUGUUGUUCGGAUGAAUGAAACGUGGUUUUUGUCUCAAACAUGGUUUUGCUGAAGCUCAGAUUCGUAACUUCUACAGAGGAAAAACGUGGUUUCAGCCUUUAAAGAUGAUGUGUGACAUGUUUAUCAUCCUAUUUUACCCUUGCUUUCUUUGUAAUUUGUUUUCAUAUUUUAAGAUCUGCAGCCUGCUUUAUUGUUGUUGUGACAAUAGGUUGAAGAAGAUGAUACAUGAGCUUUUUGUUAGGUUUAACUCACUGGCCCAUUAAAUUUAUC